rnacentral:rRNA from 1 species
AUUGAACGCUGGCGGCAGGCCUAACACAUGCAAGUCGAACGGUAACAGGAAGCAGCUUGCUGCUUCGCUGACGAGUGGCGGACGGGUGAGUAAUGUCUGGGAAACUGCCUGAUGGAGGGGGAUAACUACUGGAAACGGUAGCUAAUACCGCAUAACGUCGCAAGACCAAAGAGGGGGACCUUCGGGCCUCUUGCCAUCGGAUGUGCCCAGAUGGGAUUAGCUAGUAGGUGGGGUAACGGCUCACCUAGGCGACGAUCCCUAGCUGGUCUGAGAGGAUGACCAGCCACACUGGAACUGAGACACGGUCCAGACUCCUACGGGAGGCAGCAGUGGGGAAUAUUGCGCAAUGGGCGCAAGCCUGAUGCAGCCAUGCCGCGUGUAUGAAGAAGGCCUUCGGGUUGUAAAGUACUUUCAGCGGGGAGGAAGGCGAUAAGGUUAAUAACCUUGUCGAUUGACGUUACCCGCAGAAGAAGCACCGGCUAACUCCGUGCCAGCAGCCGCCGCCG